rnacentral:rRNA from 1 species
UUUGAUUAUAGCUCAGAUUGAACGCUGGCGGGAUGCUUUACAUGCAAGUCGAACGGCAGCACGGACUUCGGUCUGGUGGCGAGUGGCGAACGGGUGAGUAAUGUAUCGGAACGUGCCUAGUAGCGAGGGAUAACUACGCGAAAGCGUAGCUAAUACACACAUACGCCCUUCGGGAAAGCGGGGGACCUUCCGGGCCUCUCACUAUUAGAGCGGCCGAUAUCGGAUUAGCUAGUUGGUGGGGUAACGGCUCACCAAGGCGACGAUCCGUAGCUGGUUUGAGAGGACGACCAGCCACACUGGGACUGGAGACACGGCCAGACUCCUACGGGAGGCAGCAAUGGGGAAUUUUGGAUAAUGCGGAAACCCUGAUCCAGCCAUCCCGCGUGUGCGAUGAAGGCCUUCGGGUUGUAAAGCACUUUUGGCGGGAAAGAAACGGCACGGGAUAUUACCCGUGCAACUGACGGUACCUGCAGAAUAAGCACCGGCCCCAACACGUGCCAGCAGCCGCGGUAAUACGUAGGGUGCAAGCGUUAAUCGGAAUUACUGGGCGUAAAGCGUGCGCAGGCGGUUCGGAAAGAAGAUGUGAAAUCCCAGAGCUUAACUUUGGGUUUCAUUUUUAACUACCGAGCUAGAGUGUGUCAGAGGAAUUAAAAUUCCGCGUGUAGCAGUGAAAUGCACGUAGAUAUGCGGAGGAACACCGAUGGCGAAGGCAGCCUCCUGGGAUAACACUGACCAACUCAUGCACGAAAGCGUGGGGAGCAAAACAGGGAUUAGAUACCUGGUAGUCCACGCCCUAAACGAUGUCAACUAGCUGUUAGGGCCUUCGGGCCUUGUUAGCGCAGCUAACACUUGGUGAGUUGUGCCUGGGAGUGAUCGCAAGAUUAAAACUCCAAUUGACGGGGACCCACUAAAGCGAUAGAGUGGAUGAUGCCGGUUGGUUCAAGGUAAAGCGCCGAAAAGAACCUUUACCAGCAUGUCACCGGAAUCCCGAAGAGAGAUUUGGGAGUGCUCGCAAAGAGAACCGGAACACAGGUGCUGCAUGGCUGUCGUCAGCUCGUGUCGUGAGAUGUUGGGUUGAAAUACAGCAGGCGCAACCCUUGUCAUUAGUUGCUACAGAGGGCACUCUAAUAGAACUCGUCGGGUGACAAAAUGGAGGAAGGUGGGGAUGACGUCAAGUCCUCAUGGCCCUUAUGGGUAGGGCUUCACACGUCAUACAAUGGUCAGGACAGAGGGUCGCCAACCCGCGAGGGAGCCAAUCCCAGAAACCCGAUCGUAGUCCGGAUCAUGAUCACCACGACUCGACUGCGCGUGAAGUCAGAUACGCUUCAUUAAUCAUGGAUCAGCAUGUCGCGGUGAAUACGUUCCCGGGUCUUGUACCGCACCAUCAUGGGAGUGGGUUUUUACCAGAAGUAGUUAGCCUAACCGUAAGGAGGGCGAUUACCACGGUAGGAUUCAUGACUGGGGUGAAGUCGUAACAAAGGUAA